UGGGACUCUGCAGAGUCCUUGCCAGCAAGAACGCUCUCAUCUGUUAUGCCUCUGGACCUUGGACUUCUCAGCCUCCAUAACUGGUGCCUGUGCAUCAGUAUGCACUGUGAUAGGAAAUGAGAAGCAGUCUGAGUGUUCAUUGCUAAGCGAAUCAAGAGGCAAAAUAUCAUGGAUGCACUCAUGGACAAAUAAGCAGCAGUUAGAAGCAACACCCUAGAUGGAUGUACAGCCAUCAAGGGGAUCUUAAAGUGUGGUCUUUAGUGGAAAAAAAGCAGAAGCAACGUAUGGGAGACCGAGUAAUUAGACACAAGCUCACAUCACUAUCUCUUCCACCACUGUCAUCCAUCAUGACUGAUCUGGGAGAUGAAACAGCACAGAUCUAAAGGACGCAGAAGAAAGAAGCUUAUAAAGUGUCCAUCAUGAGAAUCCACCUGGGACCUACACAAGAGAUCAAAUACCCAGAACAAAUCACCACGUCAGAGCCCCACAGAAUUCUGAAUCCCAACCAGCAAGCAUGAAUAAUCCUUUUAAAUGGUCACUUACAUAUCAGAACAGGUCCUUUGUGAAAUUUCUAAGCAAGGCCUCUGGUUUCUGACUGAAACAGAGAUUUAUUGAGAAGGGGGGGUAAAGUGAAAUCAAGAACUACUGGGAAAUUUCCACAAGAAACAAGGACAAAUGGUUUUUGUUGUCAGAGUAAAACCAGCCUCCCCUAGGAGGCUGGAAAGUUAUUUGCUAGCCCACAGGGGACAAAUAUUCUCAAUUGGUUUGCCAGGGACUGUUUUGAUCCAAUUACAGUUACUGGGCAAAUACAGUAG